rnacentral:tRNA from 1 species
UCUCUAAUAGCUUAAAGGUAAAGCAUUUGACUGUUAAUCAAAAAAUUAUAGGUUCAAAUCCUAUUUAGAGAG